rnacentral:lncRNA from 1 species
CGAGCGUUAGGCGCGCGGCAGGUGUCGUUUCCUGCAAGCAGCGAGCUGAGGAGGACGCGCUAAAAGGUUGCCUGGCUUCCACCUGUGUCCGAUGUGAGCCUGUGGAAAACAAAACCUUCUAAAUUGAGUGGAUGCCACCCUUGGCUCUGAAAGUCACGUUGUUAGAAGAAGGAAGAAACAAAUGCAGAGAAGUUACAGGAUAUUAACAGCACUUAAAGAAGCAUAGGAAACUGUCCAGAGAUGGAGCAGUCAGUUGUACAUGAGAGGCUCUUUGUCCUGCUCAGCAGCACAGAAGUCAUGCAACUGGUAAG